rnacentral:lncRNA from 1 species
AGGGCCGCCCUCCGGCCACAGGAGGGCCCUUCCCUGAGCUCCUGAGGGCUGGGGUUGUCGCGAUUUACAACCCUUAACAGGUGACUGCCAGGCAGGGGCACAAACACUCAAAGCCACUCACCUCCAGAUGGGGACACCUGCGAGCCAUGACCUGCAGAGUCCGGAGUUCCUCCACGGGAUGGAGCCCUUGUCCCUCCACAGGCCUGCAUGCGCCUCCUCCCCAUCCCCGUCCACUCCCCACUCCCAGCCACGUUUCCGGGGAGCAUGUCCUUCAUACAAAUCUCAUCUCAGAGUCUGCAUCUGGAACCACACCCACAUGCCGCUAUCCAAGUUCCGUUCCAGGAAGGUGUCUGUGGGGUGAGCUGGGAAGAAGGGGGGUGCUCCGCAUCUGGGGACUCAGACUCUGCCCGGGCGCCUCUCCUGAGCCGGUUUUCAUCUGUGUCCCUUCCCUGUGACGAACCAUGGCCAUGCGUGGUUCAGCUCUCAGCGAGCUCCAGGCCCUUCCAGAGAGCUGUCACACCAAGCACCGCCUUGGGGAUCCCGAGCCUGCGGCUGGCGGUGUAACCGCAGGCCCGCCAGCACCAGGUCAACUGAGCCAUCUCUUAUCAACAGAGAGGUUGAGAAUCGCCUUUCAGGAAACAGGAAACGUGCCAAGUCACGUGGCCAGAGCACGCGCAGAAGAGGAAAUCUUGACUUGAAAUGACCGUGGAACCGAAGAUCCCCCUUCCCACGGAACCCAAGGACAGAAUGCGACCGGAGUUUGAAGGUCGGGCUCUCAUCAGAAGCGAGGGCCCUGGUUCAGGAAGAUCCAGUGUUAAAAUUCACAGAGAAUGUCUAGAGCCCCGUCGUAAACAGUUAGAACCCCGUCAUAAAUGCUUGAAGCCCAGCAAUGGAAACCCGUCCCCCCAGAGUUUGCGCGUGCCUAACUGUUGUCUAGACCCCCUAAAUUUCACCCCAAAUCCUGCUCUGGGGAGACAGAUGAGGGCCCCCUGCCUCCCUGCAGGUCGGCCUCGCAGAAUAAAGCUGGUCUCUUCGCAAAGGCUGAUGCCCGACUAGUGGCUGUUUAUGUGCACCGGGCAGAGAACCUCAUUCCGUGUGGUCACUGUCAGAGCGAAGGCAGUUUUGGGGGCACAGGCGGCUCCCUUGGGCCCUGCAGCAAGGCUAACCGUACACACACACACACACACACACACACACACACACGUGAGGCUGGGAAACCACACGGCAGGCGUUGUGCAGAGAUGCCUCGGAGUGUAGGACCAGUGUGUGUGUUCCCAUCUGUUGUUAUUCAUUUGUGUGCGAGAACCUAUCGCACACCAACCUCUGCUCCACCAGCUCAGGCGGCUCUGGUCUCGGGGCUCAGCAGCCCGGUAAGACGCAGGUGUCAGUGGGGGUGACACCAACCACGCGGUCAGGUCGCGCCCACCCAUCUACGCCACUUGCUCUUGCUCUACCGCGUAACUUGACCAAACGUUACAUAAACCAGCUACGCAUCGUGUAAAAGGAGAGAAAGUCGUUUCUACAAUACACAGUUUGGGAAAUCAAGACAAAGGCAAGUGAAGUCACUUUAAAAAUUGCUUUUGAAUUAGCUGCAGACAAGAUACCUCAAAAUACGAAAAGCAACUUGUGAAAAUUUGGAAGAUUUCUGGUCUCAGGUGACUUUACAAACAUAUUCAAGUCUCAGUCCUGGUACUUAAAAAAAAGUACCAAAAGUGGGUAUCUUAGGGGAUGAAGUAAGCACGUGGUUUAUACCAAAAAUGAAAAUAAGACUCCAGUCCUGACCGGCUGACUAGUCUCCACCCUACACGAAAAUACAGUCAAGGCCAGAGCUGCCCAAACGAUGACAGAGGAAGCAGAGGGUGGCCCCAGGUAUGCGGUGGCCUUGGGUGUGCAGUGGCCCCGGGUGAGCAGUGGCCCUGGUUGUGAGGUCACUCUGGGUGUGCUGUGGCCCUGGUUGUGCGGUGGCCCUGGGUGAGCAGUGGCCCUGGUUGUGAGGUCACUCUGGGUGUGCAGUGGCCCCAGGUGUGCAGUGGCCCUGGUUGUGAGGUCACUCUGGGUGUGCUGUGGCCCUGGGUGUGCGGUGGCCUUGGGUGUGCGGUGGCCCUAGGUGAGCAGUGGCCCUGGUUGUGAGGUCACUCUGGGUGUGCUGUGGCCCCGGGUGUGCUGUGGCCCUGGGUGUGUGGUGGCCCCGGGUGAGCAGUGGCCCUGGUUGUGAGGUCACUCUGGGUGUGCUGUGGCCCCGGGUGUGCUGUGGCUCUGGUUGUGCAGUGGCCCUAGGUGAGCAGUGGCCCUGGUUGUGAGGUCACUCUGGGUGUGAGGCGGCCCCGGGUGGGAUAUUGACCAGAGGGGAGAGGGGCCUUUCUAGCGUGAUGGAAACUUGAUGCAUCUCCAUUGAUUGUGCACCUUUAUCAGAACUUAUCAGCACGUACAGUCAGAAUCUGAAGAUUUCAUUGUAUGAAAAGUAAAUCUCAUGAACUUAUUAAGAAUUAAUGCAUAUUUAUAAGUUUUAAGUUAAAAAUAUAUGCAAAGUAUGUCUGCUUCCUUAUUUUUUAUUAUCACUUUCACCAUUUUAAACUUUAUAAUUUUAAUUAACUAACAGACCAUGUUGGCUUCAGAAAUGUGUUCCUUCUCUCUGUUACUUUCAUAAUGAAGGAAUAAAUGUAUUUUAAAUAAAAUUUUACAAUUUUCACCAUCACCUGGGAGGCUCAUGAUCCUGUAUGAAAGGGAAACACCGUCGUGCUAGAGUCAGAACUUUUCUGAUUAGAAAUUUAACAAAGUUGAUGACCCUGAGUGUCCUGGAGCCUGAAACACAGAAGACGGCCCACCCUUGAAUUCUAACAGGCCCAGCCAGCAGAGGCCAGGAACCCGCCCUCUCCAGCCCUCCUUUCUCUGGGCCGAUGGGCAGGGGCACUGGGGACCCCAGGAGCCUACUGGCCCCAGUUCUCCGGCAGGAUGCCCACUGGGCCCAGGGGGGAGGGGAUCAUCCGGGUGGGUCCCCUGGCUGGGCAGGGAGCUGCUGCCAUUAGCAGAGGUGCCGACGUGCUAAGUACACCUGGGAAAACGGGACUGAAUGCUUGUCUGCCUGAGAGAACUUCACCCCUGCACCUGCUCCAGUCAGACGCGCGCCCUCGACCACAGCUGCCUGCAGGGCUGGUCACUGAUGCGAAUGCCAGCCUGGGAUCUCUGUUCCUCCCUCCACCGGCCUCCUACCUCACUUCUCACCAUCCCUGGGGCUCAGAAACCACUCCAGGCCCCCAGCAGGUCCAGAGACCCCAUCUGCACUGCUUCCCUGAGACACCACCAGCUGACAGAGAGGCUGCAGCUCCUCCUGCUGCGGUGGCCAGAGGCCCUGCUGUGCCUCCACGGGCUCCUGGGGACGGAGUCAGGCUCAAGGGCACGUGCUGCUUCUGAAGGAGUGGUGUGUGCACACGGGAGAGCGCCACUGUCUCCCUGUACACACGGUGCAACGUGUGGGUGAAGCCACCUGCACGAGAGGCAACGAGGCGCGGGCAGACAGCUGCUGCUCUGCGGGCCGGGGUGGCCCUCCUGUCUGCUCAUCUCAGGCCGGACACUGCCCCGCACUGGGCCUGCAGCCCCAGGCAGACCCCCACUCACAGGGUGCAGAGGAUGGAGCCCGGCUGGUGUUCCGGGUAGCUGGAGUUGACGCUCACCUGGCGUCUCUUCGUGGGAGGGGUUUCUGGCCAGUGUCAGGCUCUGACACCACUGGAGGCCCUGGGAGACCUGGAAGGACUGGCCUUCUCAAGUGAGCUGAGGCAAGAGGACCCCUGAGGGAGGCCUGAGGGAGAGGCUGAGCUCCAGACUCCAGCCCCACAAUGCUGGGUGAUUCUGAGCCUCUCGGGGCCACGCCAGGACCCAGGGGUGCCCGGAGGGAGCACCUCCCAGGAACCAGAGAGCAGCUCUCCCCAAAGCCCCAUGCAGGGACAUUUGCUGAUAAAAGAAUGAACUGCAGGGAGGGCUGGAGCAGCCACGCCCUGGGGGGAUGGGGUCCCUCAUGCUGGAGUGGGACGCUCCUCUCCCUUCUGGGUCAGGGCUCAGCUCGGCUCUGCCUGCUCUUGAUCCUCUGCCGGCCCUGCCAGGCUCGGGAAUCAGGCCUGUAGGCCUGUCCCUUCACAGCUGCUCCAUGCUCUGGGCUCGCACCAUGUUCAUCCCUGCACAUUCGCAGUCCAGAGGUCAGGGGUCAGGAGAGCACAGAGGCGAGUGUGCACAGAGACACCUGGAGUGCCACACAAGGGGCCACAGGGAGCUGACCCCGGAGGGCCCCUUGGAGUUUCAGAUCAGGGGGCUCCAGUAAGGGGAGACCCCCAGACUAGGGGCCUCAUCUCAAACGCCUCAUUAACGCCUUAUGGGCGGUGACUUGGCAGGAACCCCACACCCACCACGCAGGGAGUCCCUUGCCCAUGGGCCAACCCAGAGGAGCAACUACCAGGCGCCUCAUCCUGGGGCGACUCCCUCCCUUCCUUGGGGUUCUCUUUGCAGUUACGCAACUGGGGCCACCAGUGGCAGACAUCACACGCAGAGGUCACUUUGACCUUCGUCACAGCAUCUGCCCUAAGGCACUCUCUCCAGCAGGGAGAGGGCAGCGCAGGUGGACAUCUAGGGACGGCAGCCACUCCCUCCCAUCAGGCCUGUAGUGCCCGCAUCUCUGAACACGGGAUGACAUGUGGGGACUCCAGGACUGGAGCCUCUCGGGGGGGCCUGCAUCUAGUUUCCAAAGCAACUCUGACUCUCAAACCAUUGGAGACCCCUCCUUAUUCGAGGUACUCUCCUGAUUUGGAGGAGAGAUUUAGAAUAAGUAUGUAAGAUCGGGCAGAGCUGUGAUACAACACAAGCCAGCACAGCUGAGCUGGAGACCAUGACAGACAUGCUGCUGUGGGGUGGCCAGUGCCAAGCCUGGGACCAGAGGAGGAGGAACGUGGCAGCACUGUGGUGCGUCCUGUGCCAGAAUUGGGACCUAGACACAGGAGAAGCGUGUGCGUGGUGGGCAAUCCUGACAAACUGGGACGGGACUGCUGGGCUGUCUCCUGGGAAUGUGAGCACCGCAGGCUGUGGUUACCGGUCGAGGUCAGCCGUAGGCGUGACGAGGAUAGAGGUGUCACACACUCCUACUUCUGGACAGAGAGUGGUCUCUGUGACUGAUGAAGACCAGCCUGGUGUCCCCCUAGCGUCCACUGCAGCUGCUCCCACGGGGGCCAGAGCCCAAAGCACAGGACCCACUGCAGGUGGGGCAGGCGGACCCUGUGCCAGAUGGAGAAUUUCAGGAGAUCUGGUUAACGCCGAGAUAGUCCAGUUCUCAAUGGGGGUCGUGGCCACCCAGGUGCUGACAUGUUCCAAAAUUCACCAGACGCACACUUAACAUGCCUGUGUUCUAUCGUACGGAAGUUACACCUUCAUAGAGCUGACUUUCACUAAGAAACAAACCGUAUCUGGGGCGAUACAUCUUCUACUGGGUGUUUAUAAAGCCCUCAGAACUCAAUCGUUCCCCUCGUUUGUCAGCACCACCCAGGGCCCGUCCUCGCACGUCUGCAGCCCGAGCGCAGUCUACACAACACCCACGCCCUCCUCGACCUCUAGCAGCUUUGUUGCCUCUGACAGGGAACAGGCAGUAACCUGCAAAUGCGGCACAUCCGACCCUCAGCGUGUCAGUUGGGCGGCAAGUGUCCACUGUGUCUGCCAGCCUGGGCACGGUACUAGGAGAAGCUGGAGGUAUGAACUAGUGUCCACACCGUAUCCUAGAAGGGCAGAGACACAGCGGAGUAAGCGCAGACCAGCGCCAGUAACUGGAUACAGGGCCAUGGCCAGAGCUCAGGGAGGCUGUAACCACGGGCCACCAGGACCGAUUCAAACUGACCGUCUUACCAAGAGCGACUGAGCUGUGUCUCAGGAACUGAGAGGCCUCUUGUCCAGUUCAGGCCUGUUGAGACCACCAACCCACCACCUGGACCUGUCGAAUGCCCAGUCAGUGACUCUCUGCCAUCAGGGGCUGCAAACCCCACCCUCAGGUCACCUAACACCUCAUCUGUGAGUAGGCGUCCUGUGAGAGCAUGGAGCUUGACUGCGCUGGUGCAGGCCGUCAAAUACGUCACUUCCCUCCUCAGUCGCUGUCUCCACACCUCAGACCACCCCCCAUCCCACAAAUUGAGCGCAAGUCCUGGGUCUGGAACACACCUCUGAGAGCUCUGACUCCCGCCUCCUGGCUGGCCGACCUCGAAAAAGCUGGUGGUGUGAUCAUUGGCUUUUUACGGGCAUCGGGCAGAGAACCCUGUCUUUGUGUGGUGAUGUGGCCACAGAGAAGGGAUGCACAUGUCCUCCAGGUCAGGGAGGGAUGCGGAGAGGUGGCCUCUGAGGGCGGUCUCAGAAGACACAGCACAGAGGGAGGAAGGAGGGAGCAUGAGAAAGGGCAUCCCAGACAGGUGACCUCGGAGAUGGGGAAUGAUGAGGGACCAUGUCUUUCAGGGACCACAGCAGCUCAGUGAAGCUGGAAUGCAGGGAGCAGGACAGAGGCUGGGCAGAAAUAGAGAGAAGGGAAAGGAGGGAGGGACGGAAGGAGGAAAGGAGGGAAGGAGGGAGGGAGGGAGGGAGGGAAGCAAAGGAAGGAGGGAAGGGAAGGAUGGAAGAGGAGGGAGGGAGGGCAGAAGGGAAGGAAAGGAGGGGGGAGGGAAGGAAGGAAGGAGAGAGGGAAGGAGGGAAGGGAAGGAUGGAAGAGGAGGGAGGGAGAGCAGAAGGGAAGGAAAGGAG